AUUCAGCUGACGAGCUCUAAAUAAGACGAAACGCACGUCCUGGAU
rnacentral:hammerhead_ribozyme from 1 species